AUGAACGCUGGCGGCGUGCCUAAUACAUGCAAGUCGAGCGAACAGACGAGGAGCUUGCUCCUCUGACGUUAGCGGCGGACGGGUGAGUAACACGUGGAUAACCUACCUAUAAGACUGGGAUAACUUCGGGAAACCGGAGCUAAUACCGGAUAAUAUAUUGAACCGCAUGGUUCAAUAGUGAAAGACGGUUUUGCUGUCACUUAUAGAUGGAUCCGCGCCGCAUUAGCUAGUUGGUAAGGUAACGGCUUACCAAGGCGACGAUGCGUAGCCGACCUGAGAGGGUGAUCGGCCACACUGGAACUGAGACACGGUCCAGACUCCUACGGGAGGCAGCAGUAGGGAAUCUUCCGCAAUGGGCGAAAGCCUGGCGGAGCAACGCCGCGUGAGUGAUGAAGGUCUUCGGAUCGUAAAACUCUGUUAUUAGGGAAGAACAAAUGUGUAAGUAACUAUGCACGUCUUGACGGUACCUAAUCAGAAAGCCACGGCUAACUACGUG
rnacentral:rRNA from 1 species